rnacentral:rRNA from 1 species
UGCGUAGGCGGUUAUAUUAGUCUUGUGUUAAAACUUCAGGCUCAACCUGAAGAUCGCAUAGGAAACGGUAUAACUAGAAUGAGUCAGAGGUGUACGGAACUCAAGGUGUAGGGGUGAAAUCCGUUGAUAUCUUGGGGAACACCAAAUGCGAAGGCAGUACACUGGGACUUCAUUGACGCUGAGGCACGAAAGCGUGGGUAGCGAACAGGAUUAGAUACCCUGGUAGUCC